rnacentral:misc_RNA from 1 species
GAUGAAGAACGCAGCGAAAUGCGAUAAGUAAUGUGAAUUGCAGAAUUCAGUGAAUCAUCGAAUCUUUGAACGCACAUUGCGCCCGCCAGUAUUCUGGCGGGCAUGCCUGUUCGAGCGUCAUUACAACCCUCAGGCCCCCGGGCCUGGCGUUGGGGAUCGGCGUAAGCCCCCUGCGGGCACAACGCCGUCCCCCAAAUACAGUGGCGGUCCCGCCGCAGCUUCCAUUGCGUAGUAGCUAACACCUCGCAACUGGAGAGCGGCGCGGCCACGCCGUAAAACACCCAACUUCUGAAUGUUGACCUCGAAUCAGGUAGGAAUACCCGCUGAACUUAAGCAUAUCAAUAAGCGGAGGA